rnacentral:tRNA from 1 species
GGGCCGUUAGCUCAGGUGGUAGAGCAGCUGACUCUUAAUCAGCGGGUCCAAGGUUCGAGUCCUUGACGGCCCACCA